UACGUAGGGUCCGAGCGUUGUCCGGAAUUAUUGGGCGUAAAGAGCUCGUAGGCGGCUUAGUAAGUCGGCGGUGAAAUACCGAGGCUCAACCUCGGCACUGCCGUCGAUACUGCUAUGGCUAGAGUUUGGUAGAGGAGAACGGAAUUCCCGGUGUAGCGGUGGAAUGCGCAGAUAUCAGGAGGAACACCGAUGGCGAAGGCAGAUCUCUGGGCCGUAACUGACGCUGAGGAGCGAAAGCGUGGGGAGCGAACAGG
rnacentral:rRNA from 1 species